CGGGGAAUAUUGCACAAUGGGGGAAACCCUGAUGCAGCGACGCCGCGUGAACGAAUAAGGUAUUCGUAUCGUAAAGUUCUUUCCUAUGGGAAGAUAAUGACAGUACCAUAGAAGAAAGCUCCGGCUAAAUACGUGCCAGCAGCCGCGGUAAUACGUAUGGAGCGAGCGUUGUCCGGAAUUAUUGGGCGUAAAGGGUACGCAGGCGGUUUAAUAAGUCGAAUGUUAAAGAUCGGGGCUCAACCCCGUAAAGCAUUGGAAACUGAUAAACUUGAGUAGUGGAGAGGAAAGUGGAAUUCCUAGUGUAGUGGUGAAAUACGUAGAUAUUAGGAGGAAUACCAGUAGCGAAGGCGACUUUCUGGACACAAACUGACGCUGAGGUACGAAAGCGGGGGGAGCAAACAGG
rnacentral:rRNA from 1 species